UGGGGAAUAUUGCACAAUGGGCGAAAGCCUGAUGCAGCAACGCCGCGUGGGUGAUGAAGGUUUUCGGAUUGUAAAGCCCUGUCUUUUGGGACGAUAAUGACGGUACCAAAGGAGGAAGCCACGGCUAACUACGUGCCAGCAGCCGCGGUAAUACGUAGGUGGCGAGCGUUGUCCGGAUUUACUGGGCGUAAAGGGUGCGUAGGCGGAUAUUUAAGUGGGAUGUGAAAACCCCGGGCUUAACCUGGGGACUGCAUUUCAAACUGGAUAUCUGGAGUGCAGGAGAGGAAAGCGGAAUUCCUAGUGUAGCGGUGAAAUGCGUAGAGAUUAGGAAGAACACCAGUGGCGAAGGCGGCUUUCUGGACUGUAACUGACGCUGAGGCACGAAAGCGUGGGUAGCAAACAGGAUUAGAUACCCUGGUAGUCCACGCCGUAAACGAUGAGUACUAGGUGUAGGAGGUAUCGACCCCUUCUGUGCCGCAGUAAACGCAAUAAGUACUCCGCCUGGGAAGUACGAUCGCAAGAUUAAAACUCUAAAGUGAAUUGAC
rnacentral:rRNA from 1 species